rnacentral:rRNA from 1 species
AUGGGCGGCGUGCCUAAUACAUGCAAGUCGAGCGAAUGGAUUGAGAGCUUGCUCUCAAGAAGUUAGCGGCGGACGGGUGAGUAACACGUGGGUAACCUGCCCAUAAGACUGGGAUAACUCCGGGAAACCGGGGCUAAUACCGGAUAAUAUUUUGAACUGCAUGGUUCGAAAUUGAAAGGCGGCUUCGGCUGUCACUUAUGGAUGGACCCGCGUCGCAUUAGCUAGUUGGUGAGGUAACGGCUCACCAAGGCAACGAUGCGUAGCCGACCUGAGAGGGUGAUCGGCCACACUGGGACUGAGACACGGCCCAGACUCCUACGGGAGGCAGCAGUAGGGAAUCUUCCGCAAUGGACGAAAGUCUGACGGAGCAACGCCGCGUGAGUGAUGAAGGCUUUCGGGUCGUAAAACUCUGUUGUUAGGGAAGAACAAGUGCUAGUUGAAUAAGCUGGCACCUUGACGGUACCUAAAACAGAAAGCC